rnacentral:rRNA from 1 species
AGAGUUUGAUUCUGGCUCAGGAUGAACGCUAGCGAUAGGCCUAACACAUGCAAGUCGAGGGGCAGCACAUGAAGUAGCAAUACGGAUGGUGGCGACCGGCGCACGGGUGAGUAACGCGUAUGCAACCUACCUACAACAGGGGGAUAACCCGUUGAAAGACGGACUAAUACCCCAUAAUACAGGGGUCCCGCAUGGGAAUAUUUGUUAAAGAUUUAUCGGUUGUAGAUGGGCAUGCGUUCCAUUAGCUAGUUGGUGAGGUAACGGCUCACCAAGGCAACGAUGGAUAGGGGAACUGAGAGGUUUAUCCCCCACACUGGUACUGAGACACGGACCAGACUCCUACGGGAGGCAGCAGUGAGGAAUAUUGGUCAAUGGACGCAAGUCUGAACCAGCCACGUCGCGUGAAGGAAGACGGCCCUAUGGGUUGUAAACUUCUUUUGUAAGGGAAUAAAGUGCAGUACGUGUACUGUUUUGCAUGUACCUUACGAAUAAGGAUCGGCUAACUCCGUGCCAGCCGCAGC